AGCCGCUGAUGAGUUUUCCAAUCCAUUCUGACACCUCGUAUGAGUACUAUAGUACUUUGAUCUUAAAUGCUCUCUGAGGCUU